GACAGAGGGGGCGAGCGUUGUCCGGAGUCACUGGGCGUAAAGCGCGCGCAGGCGGCAACCUAAGUGUCGUGUGAAAGCCCCCGGCUCAACCGGGGGAGGCCAUGGCAAACUGGGUCGCUCGAGCUGCGGAGAGGCCCCUCGAAUUGCCGGUGUAGCGGUGAAAUGCGUAGAGAUCGGCAGGAAGACAAAGGGGGAAGCCAGGGGGCUGGCCGCUGGCUGACGCUGAGGCGCGACAGCGUGGGGAGCGAACCGG
rnacentral:rRNA from 1 species